AGAUGUGAGGGUGAGCUGGCUGCAACAUCUGUCAACCCAUUGAUCGUCAGGGUUGAUUUGGCUGAUCUGACUGGCUAAGUAGGUGUCCCUUCUUCCCUCACUGCUCUAUGUACAUCCCUCCCGAAGCUGCGCUCUUGGUGGAAGAGGACGACCUUCUCCAAAUAGAGGAGGACCAGUCUUUGGUCAAGGGUACACAAGUAACUGCUCUCCCCUGCAAGAACCUCCAAACAAGCUCUCAAGAACAUACAUGGCGAGAGGGCCCAUCUUCCCUUAGAGAGUGUGGAAGUUAAUUUGAGGCCU
rfam:Cricetulus griseus cell line CHO-K1, whole genome shotgun sequence.